CCGAGGCCUUGCAUACGCUGGAGUGAAGGGCGUGAGCGCAAAGGAGACUCGGAAGCGAUACGGAUGCGGAAGCUGUACAGGCACGGAGAAUGCUUGACUUGCAGGCAAGCUUAGCAAGCUCACACGGCUUUACUAUGAGGAAGUUGGUCCAAUCUUCCGUUUUUGGAUUGCUCGAGGCGUUUCUACUUUUGGGGAGGGCAUUCCGACUAUAUUGCGUCAUACUAUUCUUUCCGGUUUCCGUUAAUAAUGUAAGUAUAUCUGACACAUCCCUUGAUUAAAGGACUUCUAUUUUCUUUUAAUUCUUUCGAAUAAGUGACUGACUAUUUCUCAUCACGCUUUGAAUGGGGGCUCGACCGGAAAUUGGCCGCCAUUCAAGACAGGGCUGCCAACGGGUGGGAUCCGGGUCCGGUCCAGGUGGAAGCACUCCCGAGUAGAUCAUUAAUUGGGACAAAACCUUAGAGUCAAAACCGUCCAUUUUAAAUUGAAAUUUAGGUAGGAACAAUCACAUAGGUAUAAAUCCGAACCAUUUAAGCUAUAAAAAACCACUUUUCUUAUUUA